rnacentral:rRNA from 1 species
AUACGGAGGGGGCUAGCGUUGUUCGGAAUUACUGGGCGUAAAGCGCGCGUAGGCGGUUUUCCAAGUUGGGGGUGAAAUCCCGAGGCUCAACCUCGGAACUGCCCUCAAAACUGGAUGACUAGAGUCCGGGAGAGGUUGGCGGAAUUCCUAGUGUAGAGGUGAAAUUCGUAGAUAUUAGGAAGAACACCAGUGGCGAAGGCGGCCAACUGGACCGGUACUGACGCUAAGGUGCGAAAGCGUGGGGAGCAAACAGGAUUAGAAACCCCGGUAGUCC